rnacentral:lncRNA from 1 species
AUGCAGAGAAUGAGUGGAAGUCUCUUUGUAUGGACAUGUAUUUCUACAAUACCCAUGAAUGUUUUCCUUCUGGCCACUGAAGAGGAGGAUUCAUCUUUAUCUUCACUGUCAUCAAAGGAUAAGAUUAAUUAUGCCACAACACUGCUGUUCAGAGCUGCUGUUCUCUUCUGUCUGAACAAAGGCAAUGCAACAUGGACUCCUCACAAAUCACAAGUCACUGAAGAGCUUCAGUCAAUUCAUGGAAAUAACAUGUAA